CAUACCAGGAACGAGGAAACACAUCUCUGAGAGCCACUGAACUAUCACACAUAUAAGGGAUCUGAAACACUGUGAACCAGCACACCUUUGGCUUUCCAUGAGACCUAGAUUUCUGACAGCCCACAUCUCUCUGAAAAUGCUGGCUACUAAACAGGGCGAAUAAAUGGCACUGAAAACACAGAGCUAGGUUGUCCAGGAAUCCAAGGACAUGUACACUAACUUCAGACUGAGAAACUGCAAGUGCUUGAGAUCAUGACAUCAAGAGGAGAAGAAAGAGAAAAGGAGGGCAUAGUGAGCAGAAGGCUCCAUAUUACCAUCCUAAAAAUGAAGAUCAUUCUUAGGUCUCAGGCUGCCUGUAGGUCUAACAUUGAAACCAGCAGUGUCUGUACUUAUACUUUCCAUAGAUCUGCAUCACUUCUGGUAGUAUUUCAGUUUCCUUUAUUCACUAAAACAGCCCAGAAAAGCCAAAGCAUUGUUGCGUGGGUGCUGUUCCCAUCCUGGCUCAAUGCACAGAACUCUUCCAGCCAAGAUGGGCUUUGUGCUGCCACUGAUGGUUCUGGUCAGGGGGAGACAGGGCUGAGAGUGAAAGCUGUGCUCCAGGCUAAGAACACCACAGGAGCCCCAAGAGUGCUGUGUUCUUGGACGCCCUUUGAAAUUACCCUCUGAUGGUACUUCUGGGACCCCGUCUCUUUGCUAACCAAUCGGAUAACCUUUUAAGGAACAAUUACCAUAUUUUGUCAUGGGAGCUUUGCUUGAGUAUGCAGCUCCCUGCACCUGUGUUUUCUAUAGCUUUACUAUAACUGGGUAAGCAAAUAGCAUCCAGGGGUGAGACCUUUCCUCGUAGCCUGUGGCUACAUGACCUGGCUGCGUGACCUGAGCCUUACCCUUCAGCUCCUUACUCACGGUUAUGCUGUGACACCAAUAAGAUUUAUGCUUUUGGGGGUCAACACUGCAAAUCACUAUAUUCUCAUGACAUCACAUGCAAGCUGCCCGGUAGAAGGACACAUAGGACUAGUCACUAUUCACAGUAGGAGAGCUUAUCUCUGAGAUGUUAAAAAACAAAACAGUCCUUCACCAUGUUCUGAGCAGUUUAGGUAGAUGGUUUCCACUGCUCCCAAGUCAUGGAUCUGUCUGUAUGUCAGGACACUCAAGGACCUUGGAGUUCACGGGACUGAGGAGGACCUGAAGUUGAUAGAACCUUGCACUGGUGGCCAUGGCAUCUCUUGUGCUUCCUAAUACCCCAGAGAAGAAAGACUACAGCCAGGAGAAAUACAGAAAGAAAUAAGCAAUAUCUAAGACGGGCACUCUCAGCUAAGGGAGGAGUAAAUUCUGAAAAUUUAUUUUCAUUUUUUAUGAUAAUAAGACAUUUCAUAAGAGAGACCUGACAUUGCCCACACAGGACUCCACUGUGCAGUCAUUUAGAAAUGCUACAGGAAAAUCAAGUUGUAUGAGUUGCCAUCAUUCAUAGCAUUCAUCCAUCCUCAGGCAUGCAAGAAGUAUAUUUUAGGCAAAGGAGUUCUCAUACUCCCUUUCUGGCCAUAAUAAACCCUAUUAUUCCAAUUCCACACUUUAGCUUCCACCUCCCUUCCCCCAGUUUCUACCCUUCUCAUGGCUUUGUCAACAUGAAAUUAUAAAGCUGCCUUUAGCAAACUUAGGAAAAAAUAUGGCAUGAAUUUUAUUACUAGAGCAGAAGACAAUACUUUGUUUUCACUGCUGUUUUGCUGUAUUAUCUAUUGCCCCAUACUGAGUCAACGGCAGGUGUAUAAACUGCACAAUUUUGAAGAGUAAAUACAACAGAAUACAUAAGGGCAAAGAUAUUUUGUACUGCAGUGUCAUUAGCAAAGUUUUCAUACUGGACCAAAAUAUAUCUGAGCCAAAGACCGAACAUAUCUGAAAUUCAUUCUCUGAAAAUCAGUUGGUAGAAAAAUGGAUUUUGUACAGCUGGAGAAAUUAGGAGAAAUAAAGUAGAUGGAAGAAUGAAAGAGAUACUGAAAAUUCUCCUCUUGAAUUUAUUAAAAGAUAAACAGAGAAGCAGAAUUCUCUGCAGAGUACUGGAGAAAUCAACAGAAGAACACAAUCAAAGCCAGGCUGAAUGGGGCAGGAAGCACAGUUACGGUUCUGCAGCUGCCUGUGCAGAAGUGAUCAAAGCAUCUCCUCCAUGGUUGUCUUUGACUCCUCAACUCAAGUGAGCAGGAACCAUUUGAGAUGGAUCAGUGGGCAAGCAGCCUUCAGAGAGGAUCCAGAAUGAGGUUCAACUCCUGUAAGGUACCUUAAUUGGUUUGACAGUGCACCCAGCUUAAAACAGCGAAGAAGCCAAUGAAAAUUAAUGAAUUAACUCAAAUGACAUUGCAGACUUAGAUGGGAAGUAUCCCUAGGAGAAAAUGGUGGUAGAAAGACUAGUUUCAAUACUAAAUCAGACCAAUGGUCCAUCUAGUAGUGGAUAUAAAAAACUAUAAUGGACAGUUAUGCAAUAAGAUACCCACCGGGGAAAUUCCUAAUACUUGGUGAUUUUAUUCUGGAGUAAGAGGGCUUACGUAUUUCCUUCUUACCUAGAAGGUAAGAAUACCUAUAGAUAUUCUUCACACUAUGGACUUAUCUUUAAUUUUUCUCCUUUUCUGCCUCACUAUCUAGUGGCGGGGAACUUCAGAACUAAUAUAUUCUCAAAAUCCUUUUAGCUUUUAGUAGUGUUACAGCCAUGCAGUGGUUCCCUUGUUUGAGUACUGGGACAGAAGUUAAAUCGAUCAUAUUCUUCUAGUGUGUACACUUCACACAACAGAUCACAUCAACCUUCUUGUUGAGCUAAGCACAGGAACCACACUUUGACUCCUAUAAAAUAUAAGGUUUUCAACAUUCCAACAAUAUUUAUUGCUCUUUUUGAGAUCUUUGAUAUUUCUGCUACAUCUCUUUCAAAAUGCAGCAGAUUGAACUGACCAAGAGAUCAAAGACAAGAAUAGCACCUAGCAUUGAUAUGAUGUUGAUGAUAAUUCUAUAUUUCUAAUUUUAUUUUUAUCAAUCUCAUUCAGUGAAAAAACAUUUUUAGUACAACAGGCCCGUAUUAUUUCUUAGGGCUUCUUGAUGAGUGCUUGUCUCCAUGAUACAAGAGAAAGCCAUCAGAUGUGUUAUAAAGAAUGGUCACUGACCAGAUUUACACUGGAAAAGGGUACCGGCAUCAAAAUGAAGGUGUGAAGUCUCAAAAAGUUGCAUCAAGCUCCACAGCUCUGACCUUCUAAGCAGCGUACUACUUUUCUUGAUAUAAAAAAUUUUUAACUCCUGUUUUUCAACACAUAGUGUUUCUGUAAUUUUCCUACAGAUUUUGUAAGGUCAACUGAACACAGCCAUAACAGAAGUUGCUUUAUGAAGUAUCACAUACAUAUUGUCCGUGGCAAACAUAAAGAAGCACCAGGAAGUAGAUUUCCAUGUAAGGUCUCCAAAAUUAAUUAACGGUGAAAAAAAUUCUGUAAGACACAGUAAGGGUCCUCUCAUCUCUACACACACAUAGAUUUUAAGGUCAAAGGGGACUGUCCUCCUGCAUAACAAUGGCCACAGGACCUCCACACUGGUUCCUCUAAUAAGCAUACGGUACUUUGUGAGCUGUAAUCCAUCUUGAAGAGGAACGUUCAACCUCAAUUCGCGACUCAUUUUUACAGUUUGAUGAACUCAUCAGCAAUAACAAAAAACUGCGUCAGGAGGAGGAAAACAGAAUCCCAAAUACUCUGUGUGAUCGAGACUCCACUAAAAACAUGUCACAAGAAAAGGUGAUGUUAGAAACUAAACUCUAGUUUUUACCUUAAAAUUUAGCCUCAUUUCUUCAGUCCCUGACUUUAGCAAACUGAGCACCGUGGCCAUGUAUCAUUUACUACCUCACAUUAAGGGAAUAUUAGGCAGAUCCACUGAAAUAAUUCUCAGUUUAUAAGAAAAAAAAGGUCAAUAUUAGAAUUUGUAUCUUUCUUAGCCACUACGUCCUAAGUGCAGUAUAGGAAUCCAGACACUUCAGUAAAGUUGAAUGCAUUACAAUAACUCUGAGUCCUAACAGAGAGUGUUACAUGGGCUGUUCUUCAUGUCCACAAGAUACACAUAUGCUGACAGCUUGUGACAAGAGAAAACAAGGAAUUAAUGCAGAUAAGAAUUUACAGGUAUCGUUCUAGCUAAAGGUCAUAAGUAAAAUCAAUCUUGUAUGGGAAGCAGAUUUCCCAUUACUGAAAUAUCCCUGGUAUCUCAUGACUGCAAGAUUGCUCAGUACAUCUCCAGUAAUAAGGUUAACUCUGGCCAGUAUGACUUAUCAUAUCAAGAGUUAUAUAAGAAUUAUGCUCAGAGAGCAAAAGGUGCUGGAAUAUGCAGAGGAUGCUAAUCGCAGCGAGGAAUAUUAAUUGUGGUUGGGCUGGCAUGAAGCAGAGUGGCUGGAAAGAAAGGAACUUCGAAUGGCAGUGUCUCAUCUAACAGAGUUUGUGGGAUGUGAAAAAUAAGGGCAAUUACGAGAUAGCAUCCUACUGUAAGCUAGCAGGGAGUUCUGGCAGAGGUGGCAGGGAAGUGACUUACACACAUUACUUCUAAAUGUGUUUUAUUUGGGGCCAAGACAACACAAGAGAAAAAAAA
ensembl:lncRNA